GACGAACGCUGGCGGCGUGCUUAACACAUGCAAGUCGAACGGUAAGGCCCUUCGGGGUACACGAGUGGCGAACGGGUGAGUAACACGUGGGUGAUCUGCCCUGCACUUCGGGAUAAGCCUGGGAAACUGGGUCUAAUACCGGAUAGGACCACUGCCUGCAUGGGUGGUGGUGGAAAGCUUUUGCGGUGUGGGAUGGGCCGCGGCCUAUCAGCUUGUUGGUGGGGUGAUGGCCUACCAAGGCGACGACGGGUAGCCGGCCUGGGAGGGUGACCGGCCACACUGGGACUGAGAUACGGCCCAGACUCCUACGGAAGGCAGCAGUGGGGAAUAUUGCACAAUGGGCGCAAGCCUGAUGCAGCGACGCCGCGUGAGGGAUGACGGCCUUCGGGUUGUAAACCUCUUUCAGCACCGACGAAGCGCAAGUGACGGUAGGUGCAGAAGAAGGACCGGCCAACUACGUGCCAGCCGCCGCGGUAA
rnacentral:rRNA from 1 species